rnacentral:rRNA from 1 species
ACUCCGUGAAGUCGGAAUCGCUAGUAAUCGUGGAUCAGAAUGCCACGGUGAAUACGUUCCCGGGCCUUGUACACACCGCCCGUCACACCAUGGGAGUGGGUUGCAAAAGAAGUAGGUAGCUUAACCCUCGGGAGGGCGCUUACUACUUUGUGAUUCAUGACUGGGGUGAAGUCGUAACAAGGUAACCGUAGGGGAACCUGCGGUUGGAUCACCUCCUUACCUGAAGAUAC